rnacentral:rRNA from 1 species
GUCAAAGUGAAGAGAUUCAAACAAGCGCGGGUAAACAGCGGGAGUAACUAUGACUCUCUUAAGGUAGCCAAAUGCCUCGUCAUCUAAUUAGUGACGCGCAUGAAUGGAUUAACGAGAUUCCUACUGUCCCUAUCUGCUUCUAGCGAAACCACAGCCGAGGGAACGGGCUCGGCGAAAUCGGCGGGGAAAGAAGACCCUGUUGAGCUUGACUCUAUUCUAAUUUUGUGACGCAAGUUAGGAGGUGUAGCAUAGGUGGGAGACUUCGGUCGCCAAUGAAAUACCACUACUCUUAAUCUUGUUUUACUUAUGGCGUUAGACUGCACGAUCUAUAUGGUCUGUUUUGGCAUCAACUUGGAUUACUAGAUACGCACUUGUGUGUGUAUUCUACCUUGGAGCAGCGCGCCUGACAUAUUUAGGAGGGGAGUUUGGCUGGGGCGGCACAUCUUCUACAAGACAACGAAGGUGUCCAAAGAUAAGCUCAGUGAGAACAGAAAUCUCACGUAGCGCAAAAGGGUAAAAGCUUGUUUGAUUUCGAUUUUCAGUGUGAGUUGAAAACGCGAAAGCGUGGCCUAUCGAUCCUUUCACAAUUCGAGGUUUGAAGCGAGAGGUGUCAGAAAAGUUACCACAGG